AUACGCGUGUGUGAAGAAGGCUGAGGGUUGUAAAGCACUUUCAAUAGGAAGGAAUACCUAUCGGUUAAUACCCGGUAGACUGACAUUACCUAUACAAGAAGCACCGGCUAACUCCGUGCCAGCAGCCGCGGUAAUACGGAGGGUGCAAGCGUUAAUCGGAAUUACUGGGCGUAAAGCGUGCGUAGGCGGUUAUUUAAGUCAGAUGUGAAAGCCCCGGGCUUAACCUGGGAACUGCAUUUGAUACUGGAUGACUAGAGUAUAGUAGAGGGGAGUGGAAUUUCAGGUGUAGCGGUGAAAUGCGUAGAGAUCUGAAGGAACACCAGUGGCGAAGGCGGCUCCCUGGACUAAAACUGACGCUGAGGUACGAAAGCGUGGGUAGCAAACAGGAUUAGAUACCCUGGUAGUCCACGCCGUAAACGAUGUCAACUAACCGUUGGGUUCUUUAAGAACUUAGUGGUGGAGCUAACGUAUUAAGUUGACCGGCUGGGGAGUACGGCCGCAAGGCUAAAACUCAAAUGAAUUGACGGGGGCCCGCACAAGCGGUGGAGCCUGUGGUUAAUUCGAUGCAACGCGA
rnacentral:rRNA from 1 species